GACUCGCCAAUAAGAGUUGCCUAUUUUGACUCUCACCUGACAAUCCGGCGGGAGAGGGAGAAAGAGAAAUUGAUCGGCGAUUUUGGUUCGAGAAAGGGGAAGUUGAACACUCAUGAGUAAAAGGAAUCUCACUCUUAUGGAAGAAGAUUGUUAGAAGAACUGCAAGACUUAUCUUUCCCCAUGCUUUCUAGUUUGGUCUAUUUCCUAUGUCUAGUUUAACUAAUUGUAUUUGGCUAUGACAA